rnacentral:lncRNA from 1 species
UAGGAAUUAUGUUGAGCAGUUCACAUUCAUUUUAUCUAAUUGAGAGAACAGGGUUUCGGACAUUGUAGACAACCAAAACACACUGAAUGAUUUGAGGCGGGGCCAAUGAGGUCCGCAGCUGGCACGCCAUUAGGGAAGUCACGAGUGGAGCUCAGUCAUGUCUGCCCUCAAAGCGCCUGCGCUUGACCUCUACGUUAUAUUUACUUUGGCAAUGUACAAAGUACUGAGGACAGUCUAGCCCAGACGGCCCCUAAUACACUGUCGUCUUCUUAUGCCUGGCUCUCUGCGUUAGAGAGGGCUGCCCCGACUUGGCUGUGAACGCUGACUCGCCCUUUUCCAGUCGGCCCUUGCGCCCCCUAGUCCGGGAUACAGCGUUUUCCUAACUGUCGUUUAGGGGUGAGACAGAAAAUGUACCCGUCUUCAUUCUUCUAUUCUUUCUCCCCCGUAACGACGGGGUGAGUGGCGCUGCGGUUGGGGACGCGUCUCCGGAGUCCCAGUACCCUCGGGACCGGCAGGCCGCGCGGAGGAUAUAACGGCCCUGAAAUUUGGGGCAUUUGUUUCCAGCCGGACCGCGUACUUAAGUACGCUGGAGCGCCGCGCAUGCGCGCUCCGCCCGUUGCCGCGCCGGCCCUGCGGACGUGCGCGCGCUGCCUUCGCGGCACCUGGGCCUAAGGUGCGUGGCUCCCGGGCCCUCGCCAGCUCCAGGUGCGUGAGGAGGUCUUCGGAAAGCCGACUGAGAAGUGGAGCUACCCCCAGGGAGGGUCGGACGUGCCUCAAUUUCGCCAAGGUCUUUCAUUUCUUGUUCGCUUAGUUUCCUGAAACCGUCACGUCGUUUUAAUGGUACUACUAGUCAAGACAAGAAAAUCAACAGGCUUUCAGCCUUGAGGCAACAUUGGAUUUUAUUGAGGUCAGUUUUUACAGUCUUCACAUAGAAUAUUUUGUUCUUGUCACGAUAAAUUCUGGAUUGAAUCACUAAACAGAUCUAUUAUUCUUUUAUUUCAGUUUAACAUAAGAAAAAUUGCACUUUUUUUUUAUGUUAUCAACAAAAAAAUCAGUUGAAAUGGGAUUUGAAGUUCCGUGAGUCCGUGAGGUGAGAAUCCCUAACCUGACUCAGAAGAUAAGAUCACCACUUUGCCACUAAU